UACGUAGGGUGCAAGCGUUGUCCGGAAUUAUUGGGCGUAAAGGGCUCGUAGGCGGUCCAUCACGUCGGGAGUGAAAAGCUGGGGCUUAACCCCAGUCCUGCUUCCGAUACGGGUGGACUAGAGGUAGGUAGGGGAGAACGGAAUUCCUGGUGUAGCGGUGAAAUGCGCAGAUAUCAGGAGGAACACCGGUGGCGAAGGCGGAGCUCUGGGCCAUUACUGACGCUGAGGAGCGAAAGCGUGGGGAGCGAACAGG
rnacentral:rRNA from 1 species